CAUCCACGCCAAACAGAAGCUUGUCUUUCAGGUCUUUCAGGUCGCCAUUUUCAUCUGCUUUUAGUUUGUUUUAUCUCCAAAGUCUCCUUUCUGCCCUUAAUAGCCAUAAAAUAGGCUAAAAUUUAUAGAAGCAGAGGCUUCAAGGACCCCAUUAAAUCAAGAGUGCCAGACAAGAAUCUUCCAAGAAUCUUCUUAGAAAGAGAUGGACUAGAUGAUUGUUCUGGUCAGCUGAGAACUCAAGAAUAAGACUGUAUGUACUUUGUGCAACCCUCUGUCACACACAAUCUAAAUUCUGUGCCAAGAAAAGCUGAAUUCUUCAACCAAUGUAAAUCAUGAAAAUGCAACAAAACUGCAUAUAUUUUCUGGAUCAGCAUAAUUCCUUCUGUGUCAACCUGUCACACGGAAAGAGAAGAAAUGACAAGGCAUUAAAACUUCACUCCUUGACCCCUGGUCAUCUGAAUCCUGCUCAGCUGCCCACUCACUUCAGAGAUUUCACUGGGCAUUACAUCCAAAACAUAAUUGUGCUUGAAAUGUGCUUGAUCUGCCCAUAGUCAUAAAGGCUAGAAAAGGAUUGCACUCUUUCUGUGUUUCAAAUAUACUUAACUAAAGACUUUGCUUCUCCACUGCUGAGGGCCAUGCUACAUAUGAUAUGCCGUUCUGUGAUUACUCUUCCUGAUAGUCUUUUCUACAAUGAAAAGUAGCCGGAAGUCUGAAAUUGAGUGAAUUUAUAAGGGAUAGAAUCUGGCAAACAUUUUCUUUCCUCAUAGUUGAUAGCUCAGAAUCUCCCCCUCCCACACACACACUGUCUUUCCUUCCCAUGGGGAGAAAAGAAGCUUGAUAAGGGUGAUUUUGAAUAGAAAUGGAAAGGUUUAAGUAUCUCCUGUUUCUGCUUACAGUCUGUACAGCUGUUUUUAGUAAACCAAAAAAACACAAACCAUCUUAAGAAAAAAGGAGAACUGUCCAUCACAUGCUUUUUUAAGCUUUGAGAAUGUGGUACCAUGUAGACUUUCCGCAGACACACAGGUUCCCUGCUUGGACUAAGUGGAAAUGAUUACAUCACAACAAUUGAAACUAAUCCACAGUGACACUCAUUUUAAGGUCUGUCCACUGUUUCAAUGCACUUACUUCAAAUAACAUGUUUUCUGGACUGCCCCCAAAUAAAUAAAGUAUGCUACACUGCAUAGAUCUGGAAAUAUAUAUUUACAAUCCUCAAACUGUCAUCAUGUCCUUUCUUUCUUGAACAUAGUGGUACCUAUUAGAUAUGAGGAAAAUAGAAUCAAUUAAGGGACAACUAGCUACCCUUUGCCCCAACAAGAUACACUUUGCCCCAAGAAAUUACAUAUACAAGCUAAAAAUGUAUGCUCGGGAGUUGCUGAAAUAUUUUUUUGAAGGAGAACCAGUAUAGAUUUAGAACUGGUUGGGAUUGAGAUUGGUUGGCUUUGACAUUUCUGGGAAACCAGCUUUGCCUGUGGGGUUCUUGCUUCAUUCCUGUAAGAACUGCUUGAUCUGUACAUUUGCAAACAGAUGAUUACAUAAAUACCAAAAGCCUCCCCAAUAUUUUAUUUUAAAAAAUUCCUUUUCAAGCUCCUCCUGAACUGUUGGAGAAACUCAGUCACCCCCUGGAGAACAUUUGGUGAAAUGGCUUUCCCAAUUUUGCCAUCUAUGGAUUUGGGCACAAGUGUAUCCAGUUUUAAUAUUGUUAAUAUUAUUUUAAUAUUAUCGAAGGAAGCAAUAGGCUGGACCUGUACUCCUUAUACCCACCCUCUCUUUUCCUGCUGCUUCCUUCACCCACCAAUAUGAACUAACGAUGGACUUUAUUCAGCAUUAAGGUCACAAUCCAAAUCCCACUUACCUGGAACAAGCCCUAUUGAACUCAACAGGACUUACUUCUAAGUAGA